AGGAAGUGUGUAGAGGGUGAUACUUCUCUUCUUGACAUCCAUUAGUCAACACAUCUAGUUUGUCAUAUCUUCUUAGUAAGACACAUGGAUACUCAACCGAGCUCUACUCCUCAAGGAUCCCCUACUCCUCAAGGCUCCCCUGCUCUUACAGUCCCUACUUCACAGGCUACAUCUAAGAAAAAGAGGAAGCCGAAACGAAUGAAAAGUUUAGCCCAUAAGCGCAUGAAAGGGCCCAAAAUAUCACUUGAUGUGGAUCCCACUACUAGGAUAGUUUCAGGGCCAAACAAAGCUCAAUUUUCAAGUUAUUUGGGAACCCUUGCUAGAGACAAGAUUAAUAUUUUAGUCCCUUCUUGGAAAGAAGUCCCACAAACUACUAAAAACUUGAUUUGACAGGAUAUUUUAGUAUUUUCACUAUAUUUAAAUAAUUUGACAAAAAUGAUAAUCAUUUUUUAUGUUAUUAUUAUUAACUCUUAAAUCUGAAAUUAUUUUGUAGGGAAUGUAUGACAUCAGUGAUACUAAUAUAUUGAAGAGUAAAAUGCUUUCAUCUGUUGCUACAAAAUUUAGGCAACAUAAGUCUUAUCUUACAAGGGAGUGGGUACAUGGAAAAUACAAGGGUAAAAGCCCUUGUGAUGAGUAUAAUAUUGAUCAUGAAGAAUAAGAAAAAUUUAAAGAAAUUCGAAAUGACCAUUCUUGGAAGCUUGUAAGAAAAAAAGCACAAGAUAUCCAGAAACUUAAUAAUGCUCCCCACCUAUUAUCUCGUGGGGUUAUGAGCUACUUGUGAGAAAUUUUAUGAAAAGUGAAAUUAAGAGACUUAAGGAGGAAGCAAUACAAUCCAGUGCUAGUAAGGAUGUAGUGAUUAAUCCUCCACCUCCUCCUCCACGCCAUAGGUUGUGGAGCAUGGCUCGCACAAAAAUUUCGGGUGAGAUGACGUCUGAGUCUGCUAAACAAGUUGCAGAAAAAAUUGUAAGUAUUUUUUUUAAUAAAAAAAUUUCAUUACCUAUCUUAAGAUUUGUUGUAGAAUUUUUUAUUGUAAGAUAUAUUAUAAACAAAGUUUAUUUAUUGUAGAAUGUGUUGGAGGAACAAACAUCACAAGGUUCUUUUAUUCCCGAAGGUCGUCAAGAUAUAUUAAAUACUGUCCUUGGGCGACCAGAGCACCCUAGUCGUGUUCAUACAACUGGGGAUGGUGCUACUAUUAGUAAUUACUUUGGACCAUUGUGAAAAGGCUCAUCCUUAUCUAAAUUGAGCCCCCAGGAUUUUGAAGCCCUCACACAACAAAUAUAUGUACGGGUCACACAAAGUUUAAUGUCAAAGUACCCAAAUAUGAGUGCUCAACAGUUAGGAUGUUCCUCCAUGCAUAACUCACAUUGAUUGGAGAUAUCAGCAUGAGGCUCACCCCUAAAGGGAUUACCAACAACAGUAGCACUUGAAGGAGUUGAACAACUACAUUUAGUGCUAACACGAGGCACGAUAGCAUGAUCUACCUCAAUUGGAGGAACAUCCUGUGAUUGUUGAGCACUCAUAUUUUAGUACUUUGACAUUAAACUUUGUGUGACCCGUACAUAUAUUUGUUGUGUGAGGGCUUCAAAAUCCUGGGGGCUCAAUUUAGAUAAGGAUGAGCCUUUUGACAAUGGUCCAAAGUAAUUACUAAUUGUAGCACCAUCCCCAGCUAUACGAACACGACCAGGGUGCUCUGGUCACCCAAGGGCAGUAUUCAAUAUAUCUUGACGACCUUCGGGAAUAAAAGAACCUUGUGAUGUUUGCUCCUCCAACACAUUCUACAAUAAAUAAACUUUGUUCAUAAUAUAUCCUACAAUAAAAAAUUCUACAAUAAAUCUUAAGAUAGGUAAUGAGAUUUUUUUAUUAAAAAAAAUACUUACAAUUUUUUCUACAACUUGUUUAGCAGACUCAGACGUCAUCUCACCUGAACUUUUUGUGCGAGCCAUGCUCCACAACCUAUGGCGUGGAGGAGGAGGUGGAAGAUCAAUCACAACAUCCUCACUAGCACCAGAUUGUAUUGCUUCCUCCUUAAGUCUCUUAAUUUCACUUUUCAUAAAAUUUCUCACAAGCAGCUCAUAACUCCCACGAGAUAAUAGGUGGGGAACAUUAUUAAGUUUCUGGAUAUCUUGUGCUUUUUUUUUUCUUACAAGCUGCAAUAAUUUAAUAACCCCAUAAGUAACAGUGAAAAAUAUAAUAUAAAUUUUAAAAAUAGUAAACACUACUUACCUUCCAAGAAGGGUCAUUUCGAAUUUCUUUAAAUUUUUCCCAUUCUUUAGGAUCAAUAUUAUACUCAUCACAAGGGCUUUUACCCUUGUAUUUCCCAUGUACCCAAUAAGAUAAGACUUAUGUUGCCUAAAUUUUGGAGCAACAGAUGAAAACAUUUUACUCUUCAAUAUAGUAGUAUCGCUGAUGUCAUACACUCCCUACAAAACAAUUUCAGAUUUAAGAGUUAAUAAUAAUAACAUUAAAAAUGAUUAUCAUUUUGUCAAAUUAUGUAAAUAUAGUGGAAAUACUAAAAUAUCCUGUCAAAUCAUGUUUUUAGUAGUUUGUGGGACUUCUUUCCAAGAAGGGACUAAAAUAUUAAUCUUGUCUCUAGCAAGGGUUCCCAAAUAACUUGAAAAUUGAGCUUUGUUUGGCCCUGAAACUAUCCUAGUAGUGGGAUCCACAUCAAGUGAUAUUUUGGGCCCUUUCAUGCGCUUACGGGCUAAACUUUUCAUUCGUGUCGACUUCCUCUUUUUCUUAGAUGUAGCCUGUGAAGUAGGGACUGUAGGAGCAGGGGAGCCUUGAGGAGUAGGGGAGCCUUGAGGAGCAGGGGAUCUUUGAGGAGUAGAGCUCGGUUGAGUAUCCAUGUGUCUGUUUUGACAAAAAAAAUAACCAAGGUCAAUUGGAAAAGAAGUAAUAAAAUGAAUUAAAAACAUGAAAAAAUGAAUGAAUAGAAUAUUAAAUUAUACAUCAAGAUAAACAUAACUUAAUGCGGUAAUUAAAUAGUAAUGUUUUCCCAUAUGCCUUCAUCAUGGUCAUUACGAGUGGCAUGAACGUCGUCUUGCUCAAUUUCUUCGUUGUUAGUAGGCAUACAUGUUGAGAAAGAAAGACUCUCCCAAAAUUCAAUUGU